rnacentral:lncRNA from 1 species
UUUCGAAUAAAAUAUUGGGAAACAACAUAAAUGUAAAAUUUAUAAAAUGAGUGCAUAAUUUUUUUAAAUCGAAUAUGUUGUUUCAUUUGUAACUUGUGCAAUAUCUAUACAACAUUAUUAAGCCACAGUUAAGGAGCGGACACAUAUCGUAAAAAUAAGAAUGCGCCUUAAUUUUAUAGAUAUUGUAGGACACACGAUAGGGGAAGAGAGAUAAUAAAAUUUGUAAGAAAAUUUUUAUCCAACUCUUCCUUAAAAUUUGUGUAGAGUCGAGAAAUGAGAAUCUCCAUUUUUUUUUUUUUAAUAUUUUGUGCGCGAAGAGGAGAGAUUUUGUUCUAGAUUCAAUUCCUACUUAGGGUUGGGGUCCUCUCCGCCACGGACUCACCCAAAGAAAAAGUAGAGAUUUUAAGAAGAGAGAGAAAGUGGAUAUUUUAGGGGAGAUAGAAAUUUUCCAUAUCUUAAUUUUAGAAAUAGGAGAUUUUUUUCCCUAUUUUUGGUUCAAACUGCCUAAAAUAGGUAUCUAUCCCUAACUAAAUUCAAAAGAGAGAAAGAUAUGCAUAUAUAUCUAAGAUUGUUUGCGUGAAGAGUAGAUAUUUUAGGAAGAAAGAUUAUAAUUAGCAAGUCGCGGAUUUAAUCGAGACUUUUUCAUAAAAUCAACAUUUUUUGGAAACUUUUUCAAUCGAUCGGUAAAAAUACGCGGUCUUUCCCGGAAGAAG